rnacentral:rRNA from 1 species
UUUUAAUUUUAAAAAUUGAAAUUAAUCUUUUUUGUGAAGAAGCAAAAAUAAAAAUUAAGGACAAGAAGACCCUAAGAAUUUUAAACUACUAACUUUAGAUUUAAAUUUUUUUAGUUUUAAUUGGGGCGAUUAAUUAAAAUUUUAAACUUUGUUUGAAAAUAAAAUGAACCGUUAUUAACGGUAAUAUGAUAAAAAUACUCUAGGGAUAACAGCGUAAUAAUUUUUGAUAGUUCCUAUAGACAAAAUAGUUUGCGACCUCGAUGUUGGAUUAGGAUUCUAAUUUAAUGAAGAAGUUAAAUAGAAGUU